UGCGCAGCGCAUGUUUCAACACGAUAUCGGAGAAUUUCACGCCCUUCAGGCGCGCCGUCCGGAUAUAUUGCGCCGUCAUCACCUCGGUCAUCGAGGCGCGUGUCAUCCGAGCGAUAUAGCCCAUGCCAUAAAGCGAGAUGGUCAGCACCGGCAGGAAGAAAUUCCAGAAGGUCGCAUCC
rnacentral:ncRNA from 1 species